rnacentral:rRNA from 1 species
UUUCCUACGGGGGGCAGCAGUGGGGGAUAUUGCACAAUGGGGGGAACCCUGAUGCAGCGACGCCGCGUGGGUGAAGGAGCGUUUCGGCGCGUAAAGCCCUAUCGGCAGGGAAGAAGAUGACGGUACCUGACCAAGAAGCCCCGGCUAACUACGUGCCAGCAGCCGCGGGAAUACGUAGGGGGCAAGCGUUAUCCGGAUUUACUGGGUGUAAAGGGAGCGUAGACGGCAUGGCAAGUCUGGAGUGAAAGCCCGGGGCCCAACCCCGGGACUGCUCUGGAAAACGCCAUGCUAGAG